AAAACUCAACUUUUUAGAGUUUUCCAUGACCUUGAUGACCAAAACCCAACUUUGGAAGGUUCUCCAUUAUUUUAAUGACCGAAAACCCAAUUUUAGACAAUUCAAUGACCUAAAAACCCAAGUUUUGGAAGUCUUCCAUGACCUUGAUGACCAAAACCCAACUUUUGGAUUUCCUCUUUGGUUUUGAUGACCCAAACCCAACUUUGGAAGGUUCUCCAUUAUUUUAAUGACCAAAAACUCAAAUUUUGAGUAUUCAUUGACCAAAAACUCAACUUUUUAGAGAUUUCCAUGACCUUGAUGACCAAAACCCAACUUUGGAAGGUUCUCCAUUAUUUUAGUGACCAAAAACCCAAUUUUAGACAAUUCAAUGACCUAAAAACCCAACUUUUGGAAGUUUUCCAUGACCUUGAUGACCAAAACCCAACUUUAGAAGGUUCUCCAUUAUUUUAAUGACCAAAAACCCAAUUUUAGACAAUUCAAUCACCUAAAAACCCAACUUU